rnacentral:rRNA from 1 species
GACGAACCGAGCGAACGUUGUUCGGAAUCACUGGGCGUUAAAGGGCGCGUGAGGCGGGUGCUCAAGUCCGUGGUGAAAUCCUCCGGCUCAACCGGAGAACUGCCUCGGAUACUGGGUGCCUCGAGGGUGGUAGGGUAUGCGGAACUAUCGGUGGAGCGGUGAAAUGCGUUGAUAUCGAUAGGAACUCCGGUGGCGAAGGCGGCAUACCUGGACCACCUCUGACGCUGAGGCGCGAAAGCCAGGGGAGGCAAACGGG